CUGAAUGUUACUCUAAUAACACCAGGACACCCCAAAACAAUGUUUUGGCAUCUCUAGACCCCCAAAGAACCAAAACAGGAUCGGGAACAGCUGGGUACAGCUCCUGAGCAGUUCAGCUGAGACACCUAUACCGAGGAAACUGGAAGGGACUGGUCCAAGGCUGGAAGAGCAAAGGUGGCAAAGGGAGCUGGGGAAAGUCACAUUGCUCAGAGAUACCAGUGGAAGCCUCCUAGACAGGCUUUACCGUAGGCAAGCCACCCAGCAGUGGCAAAGUGGGAGGUUUUAUGUAGAUGAUGACUGAAACCCAGAACUGUGAUCCAGGAUCUCAAGGCAGGUAACUGGAC